rnacentral:rRNA from 1 species
AGUCGAGCGCGGGAGCAAGCUGAUCCUCUUCGGAGGUGACGCUUGUGGAACGAGCGGCGGACGGGUGAGUAACACGUGGGCAACCUGCCUGUAAGACUGGGAUAACCCCGGGAAACCGGGGCUAAUACCGGAUAAUACUUUUCAUCACCUGAUGGAAAGUUGAAAGGUGGCUUUUAGCUACCACUUACAGAUGGGCCCGCGGCGCAUUAGCUAGUUGGUGAGGUAACGGCUCACCAAGGCAACGAUGCGUAGCCGACCUGAGAGGGUGAUCGGCCACACUGGGACUGAGACACGGCCCAGACUCCUACGGGAGGCAGCAGUAGGGAAUCUUCCGCAAUGGACGAAAGUCUGACGGAGCAACGCCGCGUGAGUGAUGAAGGUUUUCGGAUCGUAAAGCUCUGUUGUUAGGGAAGAACAAGUGCCGUUCGAAUAGGGCGGCACCUUGACGGUACCUAACCAGAAAGCCCCGGCUAACUACGUGCCAGCAGCCGCGGUAAUACGUAGGGGGCAAGCGUUGUCCGGAAUUAUUGGGCGUAAAGCGCGCGCAGGCGGUCCUUUAAGUCUGAUGUGAAAGCCCACGGCUCAACCGUGGAGGGUCAUUGGAAACUGGAGGACUUGAGUACAGAAGAGGAGAGUGGAAUUCCACGUGUAGCGGUGAAAUGCGUAGAGAUGUGGAGGAACACCAGUGGCGAAGGCGACUCUCUGGUCUGUAACUGACGCUGAGGCGCGAAAGCGUGGGGAGCGAACAGGAUUAGAUACCCUGGUAGUCCACGCCGUAAACGAUGAGUGCUAGGUGUUAGGGGGUUUCCGCCCCUUAGUGCUGAARUUAACGCAUUARGCRCUCCGCCKGGGGAGUACGGCCGCAAGGCUGRAACUCAAAAGAAUUGACGGGGGCCCGCACAAGCGGUGGGAGCAUGUGGKUUAAUUCGAMGCAACGCGAAGAASCUUACCAGGUCUUGACRUCCUCUSCAAUCRGUAGAGAWACCGAGUUCCCUUCGKGGAACAGAAGWGAACAGGUGGGUSCMUGGUUGUCGUCAGCUCGUGUCGUGAGAUGUUGGGUUAAGUCCCGCAACGAGCGCAACCCUUGAUCUUAGUUGCCAGCAUUUAGUUGGGCACUCUAAGGUGACUGCCGGUGACAAACCGGAGGAAGGUGGGGAUGACGUCAAAUCAUCAUGCCCCUUAUGACCUGGGCUACACACGUGCUACAAUGGAUGGAACAAAGGGAAGCAAAACCGCGAGGUCAAGCAAAUCCCAUAAAACCAUUCUCAGUUCGGAUUGCAGGCUGCAACUCGCCUGCAUGAAGCCGGAAUCGCUAGUAAUCGCGGAUCAGCAUGCCGCGGUGAAUACGUUCCCGGGCCUUGUACACACCGCCCGUCACACCACGAGAGUUGGUAACACCCGAAGUCGGUGAGGUAA